GAAGGAAGGAAGGAGGAAGGAAGGAAGGAAGGGAAAAGGCAACUUCAAGAACUUUCAUCCUUAACUGGCAACCCAAGAAAAGAGCAGGGCCUUUGAAAAACAAACAAACAUGGAACUAAGCAGCCUUUCCCUGCAAUUUCCCUGCCCACCAAAUGGUUUUCAAAGGUAGACUGCUUCUGAUGCUGGGGGCUCCACUCCGCCAUCAUCGUCAAUAGCGACUGAUGCCUCCUCUUCCUCAGGCCUCAUCAGCAACUUAGCUCUCUUUUCCUGGAGUUGCUUUCCCCCCACCACCCCAAGAAACCAUUGCAAGAUCGAAGAUGACCCCAGCCCACACUGUAGCUGCAGCCAUAACUGCCCAGACAAGACGACAACAACAACUUGGGAAAAAAACACAACCGGGACUCCGCAGGCCUGGGAGCGCAGCCACGUCUCCAAGGACUUUUCAGCAACCCUUUCGGGGUUUCGCACCACCGAGAGUUGAAUGGCUGCGGUGGGAUAAAGCCCAAGGCCUGAAGGAGCCGCGGCACCCCUCGGCCCGUCAGCGCUGGCAGCCUCGGCUGGGGGGCAUUGGCAAAGCGGAUGGUCCUCGGGACGGACGUUGGGCCAGCCCAGCCCUGCCUUUGCCAGCUUUGCUCUGCUUCAGAAACAGCAUCUGCUUGUCUUCUUGGGGAAGAGCUCCUGCCUCGGAAACUCCGUCUGGCCCAGGCUGGGGCAAAAAAGUCAGGAGUCUGGUGGCACCGUUGCCACUCACCAAUUUUUUCUAAAAGGCGGAAGCUUUCGUCAGCUGCCGAGAGCUGGCUACAGCUCGUGAAAGCGUCUGCCUCUUAAUAAAAAGCUUCUGCCUCUUCAUAAAAUUAAUACAUUGAAUAAACCACAAGUAUCUAAUACUUGCAUGUAUUUAUUUGGUUUAUUUAUUGAUAGUUCAGUUGAUUUAGUAUUUAUUAAUUUUAUUAAGUACCGGCUUAAUAAAUAACACCUAACAAU